GUCAAGCAGUGGUCUGUUUAAUGAGGGCUACCUGCCCAGUAUUUAUGCAGGUCUCCCACCUGGUGGACACUCCCCUAGGGGACCAAAUGGGAGACUGUGACAAAAGACAGACAAUCAGCCAAACACAUUAUAUUCCCACAAUGCAUCCUGGCUUCCUCCCCUCUGCCUUGGAGAUAAUUGAGAAGUAAUUCAAUUAUCUCCCAAGACAAAGGCAAAUCGCCAUUAUGCACGUGGGGAUACUAACACAGGAAUUACUAUUAAAAUGCACUAUGUGAGACAUAUAACAUUAAAAGCAUACAUUUAACAUAUCCCCAGAUAGCUCAGGUCUGAGCGCACAUUAUUAAGCGAAUGGCGCUCAGACCACACGAAUACAGUUUAAUUGCCAAGGAGCUAAAGUCUUUACACAGUCAGUUUCAUGCGAAUGAGCUCCAUGGGAUUCCUAUCUGGGGUAUAACACAUUCAAGCAAAACUACCGAACACCGGGCCGUUCGUGCACUUUCACCGAACAAGAAGGGAGGUCGGCGGCUUCAGCGGUGUUCGCGCAAAACUGUGUCCGAUUUCAGUUCCAUGAAUUAAGCGUCGAACACCGCUGUGCAUUUGCAUGUUUAAAAUGGCCGCGACCUCGUGUUCGUGAUACGAAUGGCGGCCACCCAGCAUUCGUCAAUUAAGCUGGGGUGAACCGCAGCUUCAGGGAGGCUAAUUGCCGACGCACUCCAGCUCCCAGGUGGUCCAGUCAUUUGUGCGGUUGUUCGGUAGAUUGAAAAGAAUGAAUAAAUCUUUUCUGAAGGUAAAAAGAUGUCUUUUAACAGGGGGCCAUAGUCCAAAAGCAGCAGGUGAGCAACCAUGCUUCUCCAAUGCAAUGUGGCGAGAUUGGUCUCGUCACAGGGAGAUUCCUGUCAUUAUUCACGUAAUUUCCCCACCCUCUCUUGCCACAUUUCAAAGUGAGUCAAAGCAGUUGAAGUGGCCGCCAUUCGACAUUCGAACAUGUGGCGGCGGCCAUCUUAAGCUGCGAGUACCAUGAGUGCUGUUUGGUCGUCAAGUUCAUGGAACUCAAAUCGAACACGCAACGGCACAAACACCACUGAGUAGUUACCUUCCAGGAGUCGAACAGGAGUCGAACAGCAUUCGGUGAGUUGAAGUGCAGGAACAAGGGACGCACAUUGACUAUGGUCAUUCAUCGUUAUGUUCAGUAAUUCGAACGGUACUUCGACUGUUUAAAAUAGACCGGCCGCACAGCAUAAUUCUCUGGAACUGUUUUGGGCAUGAACCCAUGCGUGCGUUCUAUCAAAAAGAGAUUUCCAGGAAUUUCCUGAACCCCUGCUCUGAUUUGGGUGACUUUUAUGGGGAUAUGUUGUAUUUUGGGGUAUUUAUUGUGUGUUUUAUUUCUGCCUGGGGAUAAUUGAGUUAAGGUAAAACACUUUUGAUAAAGCCUUUCCAAGGAAUGUAUUGUUUAUAACUUUUUU